rnacentral:rRNA from 1 species
GAUGAACGCUGGCGGCGUGCCUAAUACAUGCAAGUCGAGCGAACAGACGAGGAGCUUGCUCCUCUGAUGUUAGCGGCGGACGGGUGAGUAACACGUGGAUAACCUACCUAUAAGACUGGGAUAACUUCGGGAAACCGGAGCUAAUACCGGAUAAUAUAUUGAACCGCAUGGUUCAAUAGUGAAAGACGGUUUUGCUGUCACUUAUAGAUGGAUCCGCGCCGCAUUAGCUAGUUGGUAAGGUAACGGCUUACCAAGGCGACGAUGCGUAGCCGACCUGAGAGGGUGAUCGGCCACACUGGAACUGAGACACGGUCCAGACUCCUACGGGAGGCAGCAGUAGGGAAUCUUCCGCAAUGGGCGAAAGCCUGACGGAGCAACGCCGCGUGAGUGAUGAAGGUCUUCGGAUCGUAAAACUCUGUUAUUAGGGAAGAACAAAUGUGUAAGUAACUAUGCACGUCUUGACGGUACCUAAUCAGAAAGCCACGGCUAACUACGUG